rnacentral:rRNA from 1 species
UGGGGAAUAUUGCGCAAUGGGGGAAACCCUGACGCAGCGACGCCGUGUGAGGGAAGAAGGCUUUCGGGUCGUAAACCUCUGUCAGGAAGGAAGAACCUCUCAAGGCUGAACAAGCCUUGGGACUGACGGUACUUCCAGAGGAAGCACCGGCUAACUCCGCGCCAGCAGCCGCGGUAAUACGGAGGGUGCAAGCGUUAAUCGGAAUCACUGGGCGUAAAGCGCGCGUAGGCCGUCUUUUAAGUCGGACGUGAAAGCCCUCGGCUCAACCGGGGAACUGCGUCCGAUACUGGGAGACUUGAGUCCUGGAGAGGGUGGCAGAAUUCCGGGUGUAGGAGUGAAAUCCGUAGAUAUCCGGAGGAACACCGGUGGCGAAGGCGGCCACCUGGACAGGUACUGACGCUGAGGCGCGAAAGCGUGGGGAGCAGACA